rnacentral:rRNA from 1 species
AUGAACGCUAGCGGCAGGCUUAAUACAUGCAAGUUGAGGGGCAGCAUGAUAUACGCGAGUAUAUUGAUGGCGACCGGCGGACGGGUGAGUAAUAGGUAGGAGACCUACCUCAUACAGGGGGAUAGCAUAGAGAAAUCUGUGGUAAUACCCCCAUGAGGUUAUAUGAAUAGAGGCAUAUAAUCAAAGCAUAAGUGAUUAUGCGGUAUGAGAGGGGCCUACUGACCAUUAGCUAGUUGGUGAGGUAAGGGCUCACCAAGGCGAAGAUGGUUAGGGGUUUUGAGAGAGAGACCCCCCACAUUGGAACUGAGAGACGGUCCAGACUCCUACGGGAGGCAGCAGUAGGGAAUAUUGGGCAAUGGGCGAAAGCCUGACCCAGCCAUGCCGCGUGAAGGAAGACGGCCUUAUGGGUUGUAAACUUCUUUACUACGCGAAUAGAGGUUAGUACGAGAUACUAAUAGGAAGGUAGUGUAGUAAAAAGCACCGGCUAACUCCGUG